AACGAACGCUGGCGGCGUGCGUAACGCAUGCAAGUCGGACGCGAAAGCCUGGGCAACUGGGCGAGUAGAGUGGCGUACGGGUGCGUAACACGUGGGUGACCUACCCUCGAGUGGGGCAUAACUCCGCGAAAGGGGAGCUAAUUCCGCAUAAGACCACGGCUGCGACAGGAGCUGCGGUCAAAGGGCGCUUCAGGGGGCCAAGCCGCGGGCGUGGGGGNGGGG
rnacentral:rRNA from 1 species